AGGGCGGUGAAGGUCACGGCGGCCUGCCAGGCAGCGACGGUGACCCCGGAGAAGAUGGUCCCAUCGGAGUCCCGGGGUUGAUGGGAGAGCCGGGACCGUUUGGUGCCAAGGGGAGUAAAGGGGAUCGAGGUGUGAGAGGUCCCAGGGGCAGAGCGGGCGCUGUGGGAGCUGAAGGAGAGCGAGGGGACGCUGGAGUACCAGGGAAACCAGGACCCAAGGGCCUGCAGGCCCAGCCAGUGUGUACCAC